rnacentral:SRP_RNA from 1 species
UAUGGAGGCCAGUCAGGUGGAGGUAACAUGAACUCCCCUAGAAUCGAAAGAUAGCAAGGGUAAUGAUUAUUUUUCAGGUUGGUUGGUCUCCUUAAUU